rnacentral:rRNA from 1 species
CCUGGCUCAGAUUGAACGCUGGCGGCAUGCUUUACACAUGCAAGUCGAACGGUAACAGGGAGCUUGCUCCGCUGACGAGUGGCGAACGGGUGAGUAAUGCAUCGGAACGUACCCAGUCGUGGGGGAUAACGUAGCGAAAGUUACGCUAAUACCGCAUACGUCCUGAGGGGAGAAAGCGGGGGACCGUAAGGCCUCGCGCGAUUGGAGCGGGCCGAUGUCGGAUUAGCUAGUUGGUAGGGUAAAGGCCUACCAAGGCGACGAUCCGUAGCGGGUCUGAGAGGAUGAUCCGCCACACUGGGACUGAGACACGGCCCAGACUCCUACGGGAGGCAGCAGUGGGGAAUUUUGGACAAUGGGCGAAAGCCUGAUCCAGCCAUGCCGCGUGAGUGAAGAAGGCCUGGUUGUAAGU